rfam:Vibrio angustum S14 1099604003232 genomic scaffold, whole genome shotgun sequence.
GAUAACAGGCUGAUACCGCCCAAGAGUUCAUAUCGACGGCGGUGUUUGGCACCUCGAUGUCGGCUCAUCACAUCCUGGGGCUGAAGUCGGUCCCAAGGGUAUGGCUGUUCGCCAUUUAAAGUGGUACGCGAGCUGGGUUUAGAACGUCGUGAGACAGUUC